rnacentral:rRNA from 1 species
UACGAAGGGGGGCUAGCGUUGCUCGGAAUCACUGGGCGUAAAGGGCGCGUAGGCGGCUCAUGAAGGCUGUGGUGAAAGUCCGGGGCUCAACCUCGGAUCGGCCGUGGCGACUCGUGGGCUGGAGCACUGUAGAGGCGGGUGGAAUUCCGGGUGUAGCGGUGGAAUGCGUAGAGAUCCGGAAGAACACCAGUGGCGAAGGCGGCCCGCUGGGCAGCUGGCUGACGCUGAGGCGCGACAGCGUGGGGAGCAAACAGG